rnacentral:rRNA from 1 species
AACGAACGCUGGCGGCAUGCCUAACACAUGCAAGUCGAACGAGACCUCCGGGUCUAGUGGCGCACGGGUGCGUCACGCGUGGGAACCUGCCCUUAGGUUCGGAAUAACUCCCCGAAAGGGGUGCUAAUACCGGAUAAUGUCUUCGGACCAAAGAUUUAUCGCCUUUGGAUGGGCCCGCGUUGGAUUAGCUUGUUGGUAGGGUAAAAGCCUACCAAGGCGACGAUCCAUAGCUGGUCUGAGAGGAUGAUCAGCGACACUGGGACUAAGACACGGCCCAGACUCCUACGGGAGGCAGCAGAGGGGAAUAUUGGACAAUGGGCGGAGGCAUGAUGCAGCAAUGCCGCGUGAGUGAUGAAGGCCUGAGGGUUGUAAAGCUCUUUUACCCGGGAUGGUAAUGACAGUACCGGAAGAAUAAGCUCCGGCUAACUCCGUG